rnacentral:lncRNA from 1 species
ACAUCUAUAAAAUAGAGAGUAAAUGGCAAUUGAAAGGAAAUAGUUUAAUGUGUUUGUCCAAUCAAUUACAAAAUAAUGUGUUAUAAAAAUAAUCGUCAUGGGUAUAAAAAAAGACAAUUCCUGUCUGUAACUUAAUCGUUGUGUGAGAUUUUUGUAGAUUUCUGGAUGUAAAUAGGCAACAAAAAAAAAAACAAAAAAAAAAUAGGAAGAAAAUAAAGAAAGCUUUAUCGUUACGGGAAUAAAAAAAAUGCCUUUCUUAAAUUAGAAAAACCACAAGCUAUGAGGCAUUUGUACUUAUUUACAAGACAGAAGUAUAACACAGUGAACAGUUGAAACUAAUUUAUAUUCGAAUCCUAGGGUUACAUCAAGCAAUCUAUAAGUAUAACAUUAUAUCUUGCUUCGUAAUGACAAUUGACAAAAGACAAGCAUUAAGUAAGAUUAGUAGAGAUCGGAAUCGAUAACAGAACACAGAACCUUUCAGGAAAUACAUUUGCAAUCAUUUGUGACUAAACGACCGAAAUGUAAGGUUAUUGUGCGGUUAAUUUCAGUUAAGUCGGACGGAGCAAUCUAUUUUACAAUAGUUGAGCUCACCUAAGAAACUCAAUACUAG